GAUGAACGCUGGCGGCGUGCCUAAUACAUGCAAGUCGAGCGAACAGACGAGGAGCUUGCUCCUCUGACGUUAGCGGCGGACGGGUGAGUAACACGUGGAUAACCUACCUAUAAGACUGGGAUAACUUCGGGAAACCGGAGCUAAUACCGGAUAAUAUAUUGAACCGCAUGGUUCAAUAGUGAAAGACGGUUUUGCUGUCACUUAUAGAUGGAUCCGCGCCGCAUUAGCUAGUUGGUAAGGUAACGGCUUACCAAGGCAACGAUGCGUAGCCGACCUGAGAGGGUGAUCGCCCACACUGGAACUGAGACACGGUCCAGACUCCUACGGGAGGCAGCAGUAGGGAAUCUUCCGCAAUGGGCGAAAGCCUGACGGAGCAACGCCGCGUAAGUGAUGAAGGUCUUCGGAUCGUAAAACUCUGUUAUUAGGGAAGAGCAAAUGUGUAAGUAACUAUGCACGUCUUGACGGUACCUAAUCAGAAAGCCACGGCUAACUACGUG
rnacentral:rRNA from 1 species